GCUUUUAGCAUAGAUAAGAAACCCAACAAUUGAUAAUAGAAGCAUAUGCAAACAUAUAAAUAAAACAAGAAUUUAAAUAUAAGAGAGUUUGAAAAGAUUACAUUUUUCCCAACUAUAAAGAGUUUAGUUCACCAUAGACAUGGUGAAACUAGAUGGAAUUAAUGGAAAAGAUGAAAGAGUAAACCCUAGAUUUGAUAAAUUGGAGCCUAGGCAUCCAAGAAGCCGUCUCCAAGGAGUGUAGAAUAGCUCUGUGAUGGGUGUCGCACCCCAUACAAAUUUAAUUUGCAAAUUAGGAUUGUAGUAUAACUAGGAAGUGACUCCUAGGUCAUCUCUCAAGGACCAAAUGCGGUUCGAGUCUUAGGUCUAACAUGUAGUGGGGGGGGGGGUUGAAAGUGUUCUUGCAAGGAAAAUAAAAUUAAAGUAAAACUAGAAAUUAAAUACAACCAAACAUAAUUGAAAACAUUAAAAUAACUGAACAAAGCAUGAAGACCGAAUGGUCCUACAAAUGUGUAUUAAUUAAAAUGCGAUAGAUAAUAAAGAAUAAAAAAAAACUCUUGUUUAAAAAUGAAAUGCACAAUGCAGCGAGAAUAAAAGAAAAUAUGAAACCUUAAGCUAAACAUGGAAGUGCACAUUAUAGUCAUCCACCAAUGCUUAUAAAUCCCGGGAAUCACAAACUAAAAUAUGCUAAUAGUAAAAUAAAAUGAACUAAAUUGCAGAAUGUAAUUUCAAAUUCAAUAAUAUUAAAAUGAGUUUCAAUGCAAGCUGAAGCUAAAUCAAAUUAAAUGCAAAGAUGCAAGACAAAAUAAAUCCAAAAUGGGCAGUGUAUUCCUAAUUGAAGGUUAUGAAUACCAUAAAGUGCUGCUGGAAUAAAAAAAAUAAAGAACCAAAGCCCAAAAAAAAUUGCUGAAAACACCGUGCUACUUCCUCCAAUGUUGGACAACAUCUUCCAAUUUCCAAAGGUUGAAGAAAAAAAAACUCUUCCGUGAGCAGCUGCUUCCCAAGAUAAAAGUGAAUGCACUGUGAAAGAAUUCCAGUCUUGCACGUCACUUAUUAUAUAUGAAAGCAAAAUAAAAAUUGUUGCACCUAUUCUAAUCUAACGGAAAACAAUAUAAAAAGGAAACUAGCAAAAAAGUGUGGCAGCUGGUUCAUUCUUUAGUAAAUCAUCAUCGUCACCUCAUGCUUCCAAAAAUAGCGUUCCAACACUUCUCAAAGUGUGUGGCUGCCUCCUUUCAAGUAAAUAAAACUGCAUGAUGUGUGCUUCAUAAAUGACCGUGCAUAUGCUUAAAAUAAAAAUGAACUUUUUAUGAAGAAAACUAAUUUUUGCUUCCGUGCUUAAAUGAAAAACAAUCAGCUGUGUGCCCUCCAAAAUGUAUGAAUUAGCGCUUCUUCUAGCAAAAUGGAGAUAACCUUUUUCUAAUUGAAAGCAACAUUCCUUUUCUCCAAACCCAACGAGAGAGAAAAAUAAUGUAAUAGUGUGCACAAGUAAAAACCUUGAAUCAGAAUGCUUCCAAGAUGUUUCAGCAACAACAACAACGUUGAACAGAAUAAAAAGAAAUUGGAAAAAGUGCUUCUUCCUUCACCCAUAAUCAUCAAGUGUAAAUAUGGUUCCAAAGAAAAUUGCUAUGUAAAAAAAACAUUCAAUAAAAUAUCGACUCAUCAAAAUAGACCACACUUAGUCUUUUGCACUCCUGGGCAAAAUCAAGACGCAAAUCAGGGAACAGUUCAACAGACAUUAGGGAAUUGACACAGACUCAGCACACAAAAAAAAAAGACUUACUAGGAAAGAAACAAACAGAAUUACACAGUCCUCAAGAAAUCUGGACUAAGAAAAUAAGUAGACAUCAUUCACACAGAAUCAAAGAAAGCAGAUACUUAGAGAAAUCAUCCAAGCAAUUCAAAGCAUGGCAAAAUGAUCAAUCAGCUUAAGAGGUGAAUCAAAAGCAACAGAACCUCACAAAUGCACACUAUCAGUGUUUCUCUCAAGUGUCUAAGGUAAACAAUGUCAACUCAAUGCACUCAAGAAAACAAGCAACAAACAGUCUUGGCAAGCCUCUAAUAUCAACACUAAAAAACAUAUGCAUGUUAAAAUCAAAAGGUCUUUUAUGGAUGGAAUGGGGCCAAGGACAAGGGAGGAUAAAUAUGGAUGAGAAGUUACUAACCAAAAGAAAUAGAGGAGCAAUGAGGAAAAAUUGUAAACACAUUCAAACACACCCAAAACCUUUAAUUCAAUCCUCUUCUUGACUCUUGCAUUCACAAUUUUUUUUUAUUUUUCUUAUUUUUCUCUGUUUUUUUUCAUCUUGUCUCUUUGGUUUUCUCUCUAUUUAGGACACAACUCUAAGAGACAAGAUACACAACAUAUUUACAAAAACAAAAGCAAGAAGAGGAACCAACUAGCCAAUUCUCUGAAUCUCCCAGGAGANNNNNNNNNNNNNNNNNNNNNNNNNNNNNNNNNNNNNNNNNNNNNNNNNNNNNNNNNNNNNNNNNNNNNNNNNNNNNNNNNNNNNNNNNNNNNNNNNNNNNNNNNNNNNNNNNNNNNNNNNNNNNNNNNNNNNNNNNNNNNNNNNNNNNNNNNNNNNNNNNNNNNNNNNNNNNNNNNNNNNNNNNNNNNNNNNNNNNNNNNNNNNNNNNNNNNNNNNNNNNNNNNNNNNNAUAGGCUCAAAGGGGCUAUCAAAGGAUCACAACAAGGUAGGCUCAUCUGGCUAGAGAGGCUCAACAACAAAACUGCCUUUAUCACUUCCAAACAUGCAUAUUAAUCAAGAAACAUCAAAAAGAGUCAAGCCAAGGCAUAUGUGCAAGCAAUCAAGAGACAUAUCACACACAAGAAAGAUAUCAAGUGGCUCAAAUUCUCACACAGGGUAUUUCUGUCAUAAUCAAAUCAACCUCUCAAACAUUAUAAUCAUGUUCCAAGCAGAGAAAAGCAAGGAUUUCAAACCAAUUAGAGUAUCAAUGAAGUGAAGGGAAAACUGACAACCUAAACAAAGUCCAAAUAUCAAGGGGAACAGGUAAAACUUUACACAAGACACAACAAAAACUACUUAGAAAACAAAAAAUUUAACGCAGAAAACAUAAACUAACAACGAAAAAUCAGAAUCUCCCCCAAUAGACCACACUUAAACUACACAGUGUCCUCAAUGUGUCACAAGCAUAAGAUCAGAAAUCAGAAUAUUCAACAAAUCAUGGACAAGUGCAAUAAAAGCAGGAAAGGGGGGAGAAGGGAAAAGAAAAACUCCCCAAGUCAUGGUGGCAGUUGCCAAUUUUGGACUUUGAGGGAGAUCUGUUCCACCAUAGGAUUCAACAAGGAAGUGUUGAAGAGGAAUUGCUUCAGUCUCCAAAUUUGAUCAAGUAGGGAGAUGUCCUCCACAGCUGGAUCUAAGAAGAAGUGAUUGUUGAUGAGUGGGUUCAGCUGAUGCCUAUUAAUCUUCAAACUGUCGGUACCUUUGUCUUCCACCAUGGGUGUGUGUUGGUCAAAUUCAUAUGUACCUCGUACAACAUGGUUAGUGCAAUAUGGUUCCACAAAAAUAACAUGCAGGGGUAUAACACCCAAUCCCAGUGUAACAGCUGAACCGCAAAUAAACCCUCUGAACAUGAAUCAAUUUCAAAUGUAGAAACAAUAUCAAAAACAGUCUCAGAUUCAUGUUCAGUGCAUGGAGAGCAAACAUUCAAAUGUGAUAUCAAACAGUGGUUCUCAUCUUGCAGAGAGGUAGAAUUAAAAUAGUGCUCAUCAGCAAUGUAAUCAUCAACAUACCCAUCAUCAGCAUAAUCAUCAACAACAGAUUCUAUCUCAGGUAUGUUUACCUUCACUUCCCUAGAUGUGGCUAAAGUGGUGGAAGGUGAAGCUGGUCUACCUAUCUCAAAAGUGGUGCUCAUAUAUACCUGUGCCUCCAAUUCUUCAUCAGUCUCCUCAGGUGCAAGAAUGGGGACAUAGGAGGGUGGGAAAGUAGAUGGCACAAUAGUAAGCUCAUGAAUCUGCUCCCUAUCUCCUAUGUGGAUGGCACCAACAUCAUCUGGAAGCUGAUCAUCCUGAAACGAUGAUUCCUCUGAAACAUAAGAUUGUUCGUCAGUGAGCUGAGUGGCCAUCUGCCCUAACUGAUCAGUCAAACUCUGCAUGAAAGCUAUGGUGUAUUGAUGGAACUGCUGAAUCUGCAUAAUCUGAGUUUUGGUUUCCUGCUGAAACUGCAUAUUCUGAGCAGUCAUCUGUCUCAACAACUCCUUCAAUGUAGACUCAGAAGUAGAAGGUUGAGGAGCCGAUUGGGUAGGCUCAUGAAACUGUAGUUGCUGUGGUUCAUGGACAGGUGGAGAAGGCAUACAAGGAGUCUGGAAAGGCAGUUCUUGAUAUUGGUGCUGUGGAGUACCAUGCCAUCCCAUGUUAGGAUCAGUCCACCCAAGACAAUUGCUAUAACCAUACCGCACAUGGGAGAAUUUGUUAAGAAACUGAUGCUCAAGAUCUUCCCAACUGGUGACGGAUCCUGGAGUAAGACAAAAACACCAAUCCUUUGCUGCUCCGUGUAAUGAGUACUCAAAUGCCCUUAAGAACAUGUCCUCAUCUGGGACAUCUGGAGGUUUCAUUGAAGAGCAUAUGUUGUAGAACUCCUCCAAAUGUCUAUAUGGGCAUUCACCUGCAAAACCAUGGAACUUAGGCAGCCAAUGUAUCAGUCCAGUAUUGAAAACACAACGAAUAUCCUCCUCAUCAAGUGGAAACGACUCUCUAGGAGCACUCUCAUGAGACGGAGGAGGAAUCGUACUGUUCUCAACAUAGAAAUCAGCAGAAUAUGCAAUAGAAGCAAUAUCAGAGUCAGAUGCAGAAGGAUAAUCAUAAUCAUAGACACAGGCAGAAUAAGCAUUUCUCUUAUAACCAAAACAUGUAGACAUGUAGAAGGGGGGAAAGGAAGAAGGUAAUGAAAAUAUGAAACUAAAGUUACCUAAAUGCAACACACAAUGACGAACACACAAAACAGAACAUCACACAUCACAACACAAGACAAGACAACACACACUAACACAAUAAAAGACCUAAAACCGAUCUGUUGGUCCCCGGCAACGGCGCCAAAAUUUGAUGGGUGUCGCACCCCAUACAAAUUUAAUGUGCAAAUUAGGAAUGCAGUAUAACUAGGAAGUGACUCCUAGGUCAUUUCUCAAGGACCAAAUGCGGUUCGAGUCUUAGGUCUAACAUGUAGUGGGGGGGGGGGUUUGAAAGUGUUCUUGCAAGGAAAAUAAAAUUAAAGUAAAACUAGAAAUUAAAUACAACCAAACAUAAUUGAAAACAUUAAAAUAACUGAACAAAGCAUGAAGACCGAACGAUCCUACAGAUGUGUAUUAAUUAAAAUGCGGCAGAUAAUAAAAAUUAAAAUAAAAAACUCUUGUCUAAAAAGGAAAUGCACAAUGCAGCGAGAAUAAAAGAAAAUAUGCAACCUUAAGCUAAACAUGGAAGUGCACAUUAUAUUUAUCCACCAACGCUUAUAAAUCCCGGGAAUCACAAACUAAAAUAUGCUAAUAGUAAAAUAAAAUCAGCUAAAUUGCUGAAUGUAAUUUCAAAUUCAAUAAUAUUAAAAUGAGUUUCAAUGCAAGCUGAGGUUAAAUCAAAUUAAAUACAAAGAUGCAAAACAAAAUAAGUCCAAAAUGGACGGUGUAUUCCUAAUUGAAGGUUAUGAAUACCAUAAAGUACUGCUAGAAUAAAAAAAAU
rnacentral:lncRNA from 1 species